GACCCAAUAGCGAAGGGUUCGCACCCCGUCCUGGUAGCCAUCUUGCGUAUUUCUGCGGCGAGAGUUCCUGGUUCGACUCCAGGUUGGGUCU